rnacentral:sRNA from 1 species
AUAUCUCUCUGUACGGGAAGGAUGAGAAGCUUCGACCAAGGUUCGAUUCGAGCGCAGCGAGAAAGCGUUGCCGCAGGCAACGACCCGAAGGGCGAAGCGCGCAGCGCUGAGU